GCCAUUAAAAAUCCCCUUCCCACCUUUCUCCCCUCCUCUCACCCUCCUCUUUGGCUCUUUCUCACCAGCUCCACCGCCGCCUCCUUCUCCCACUACUCCGCCUCCGAUCUCCGGACCCUCCGGCGACCGGGCCCCACCACCCGGCCUCUACGCCGCCGCCCAGGCCCCACGUGCCAAACUAGCGCCGCCGCCGCCAUUAACCAACUGCCUCGCAUCAUUCCUUCCCGAUCUGCCAACUAGCCAAGCCUACUGACGUGCUACGCCGCCGCCCUCUUCCUCUCCCCCGCCAACGCGCUUGGCCUCCCCUGCAUCCUACUCCCGCGGGGUCCCAAUCCCGAACCCUAGAGCUCGCUCGCCCAGGGAUCGACCAAGUGAUGCGCGGAUCGGGGCGGGCGGCGCGGCCAUGUUGGGCCGCAUGAAGUGCCUCGUAGGCGGCGCCGUCGACCAGGGCAGCCCGCGGGGAGCCGCCAGGAGGGUCUCGCCGGCGUCCGGCCGCGUGCACAACGCCGCAGCCGCCGCCGCGGGGCCGGGGGGCAAGAGGGCCAUCUGCUUCCGCCCGCCGGACGUCAUGGAGACGGUGCACGAGGUGGCCGUCUACAUCCACCGCUUCCACAACCUCGAUCUCUUCCAGCAAGGAUGGUACCAGAUGAAGAUUAGUGCAAUGUGGGAGGAGGGUGAAAGCGGUAGCAAGACACCUGCUUCACCCGCAAGGGUGGUCCAGUACGAAGCUCCUGAUGUCGGUGCGGACGAUGCUUUAGGCAUUUGGAGAAUAGAUGACGCUGAUAACAGCUUCUACACACAGCCAUUCAGAAUCAAGUAUGCUCGACAGGACAUCUAUCUAUCGGUUAUGGUGUCUUUCAACAUACUCAACGGUGAACAAGAGGGUCCAGCAGCUUCUGCUGUGAUAUUGAAGUACGAGUUAAUAUAUGCCCCAACACUGGAGAAUGGAUCUGAUAUCCAAUCUUCUAGCGCUACAUCUUCAGCUGCUGUACAUGAAUUUAGGAUCCCACGCAAAGCACUCCUGGGCUCACAUUCAUAUUGUCCAGUUCACUUCGAUGCAUUCCACGCGGUGCUUGUCGAUCUGACAUUACAUAUAGUGUACCUGAAAGCUGGUGCAAAUAAAUCAUCAUUGAAGGUACACAGAUACCAGAUCAAGGUUUACGCCCAACAGCACAUCACAUAAUCAAGGCAUUAUUGGCUUCGAGGGAAAUGUUACUUGAAGAAUUGAAGAAAAUCAGUGGUGCUGUUGGCAAAUCAAUAGAAGAUUUAGAUGAUGCUGACUUAAGUCUUGGUAAAUAUGAGUCACUUCAGCCUUCAAAACCAGUCCAUCCUGAUUCUGGUAAAGUUUUCCCUGUAACUACCAAGGGUGUUGGGCAUUUGGCUGGCAUUUUACACGACUUUCUGGAGAGACCCAACGAUGUUGUUGAUGGCACUACGGAUGGUAUGCUGUAUACUCUUUCCCGUGAAGAGUUGUUAGAAUUGUUUGUAACCGUGAGCAGCCAACUUUCACUUCUAUGGAAUGCAUUCUUGAAAUUUCAUAGGAUAAAUAAAACUAAGAUACUGGAUUACUUGCGGGACAUUUGGGCCGUUGACAGGAAAGCAGAAUGGUCAAUCUGGACUAAUCACUCUAAAAUCGAGAUUCCACACCGCUAUUUGCGGAGUAUGAGUGAUGACCCACCUCACCGCCAACACUCCCUCCUGAGAGUUUCUGGUUCAAGGAAGUUUCAUGAAGAUCCUGUACAAAAUUCUGCUUCACGGGCUGAGCUACACAGGAAGAGCAUAGCCCAAAUGAAGAUCAACACGAGGUCUGUUCAAGAUAUGCAUAUAUAUGCUGAUCCUUCACGUGUACCUGUUGUCCUUAUAGAACAACAUGUCAUGGUUGUUCCACAACAUGGUUCAAACAAGGAUUUGGCAUCAAGUUCUUCAGAACAGAAGGAUACUAUUGUGCUACCUAAACUACAAGGAGAGUCUUUGGUGCUGAAAAAUAUCAAUGGUAAAAAAGGUGGACGCGUAUUACGAGCUGUCAUCUUUGUACAUGGAUUUCAGGGACACCAUUUGGAUUUACGUCUUGUUAGAAAUCAAUGGCUUCUAUUGGAUCCUGGAGCUGAAUGCCUAAUGUCUGAGGCUAAUGAAGACAAGACUUCUGGAGAUUUUAAAGAAAUGGGUGGCAGGCUUGCUGGGGAGGCUGUUGCAUUCUUGAAAAAGAAAGUGGAUAAGCUUGCAAGACAUGGAGGCUGCAAAGAAUUGAAGCUUAGUUUUGUUGGCCAUUCCAUUGGAAACAUUAUCAUCAGAACUGCCUUAGCAGAACCUGCAUUGCAGCCAUACUUGAAGAACCUCUACACAUACAUGUCGAUAUCAGGGCCUCACUUAGGUUACUGGUACAGCUCAAAUUCUUUGUUCAAUUCUGGUCUCUGGCUUCUAAAAAAGCUCAAGGGGGCACAAUGCAUCCAUCAACUUACUUUCAGUGACGAUCAAGACCCCCAGAAUACCUUUUUUUAUAGGCUUUGCAAGUCGAAGACACUAGAGAACUUCAAAAAUAUCAUAUUGUUAUCGUCACCACAGGAUGGGUAUGUACCAUAUCAUUCAGCAAGAAUCGAGCUCUGCCCAGCUGCGUCGGCUGAUAAUUCAAGGAAAGGUCAAGUCUUCACAGAAAUGCUGAAUAAUUGCUUGGAUCAGAUGCGUGCACCGUCGUCUGAAACUCGUAUAUUCAUGAGGUGUGAUGUUAAUUUCGACCAAUCUGCCCAUGGACGGAACCUGAACACCAUGAUUGGCAGAGCAGCCCACAUAGAAUUCCUGGAGACUGACAUCUACGCUAGGUUCAUCAUGUGGUCCUUCCCUGAACUUUUCCGAUGACGAUGACAAUGUUCUCUCCCUCUUAUUUGGGAUGGCAUGAUGUUCCAAACCAAACCAAACCAAACCUGGAUACUGCACUACUGACCAAGAAAGGAAUAUAAAGGUUUCGUCACCAAGAUGGAUAGCACUGUAAAGUUCCCUAGCAGUAACAUUUUGCCAGUUUGUUAGAUUUGAUUUGUAUAAAUAGUUGAUUUGUUCAUUUCGAUUUAUAGCCCUGUAGAUGUGAGAUGUGCCGUCAGGUCUUGAUAAUCCAACGUCGUCUGGUGUGGUGUAUUUUAACGCUGCCAGCCAGUUUAGGAGGGCCAAACAGCCAGUGAGCUUAUGUCAAAUAAGCAUGACGUGUGUUUUAUUUUCUUUUAAUGAUCACUACAUCAGGCAGAGAUCAUUAUCCGGUUCUUGCCAUGUCAUGUUGUUGAUCUGUAACUGAAUGUUGAGGAUUCAUUGGAUGACGGAGAGUGUGCAGUCAAACUUGUAUUACUUUGACUUUUGUUGUACAAAUGCAUUAUUGAGAUUGUAAGAAUCAAAAUAAUAUU
rnacentral:rRNA from 1 species